AUUGAACGCUGGCGGCAGGCCUAACACAUGCAAGUCGAACGAGUGGCGGACGGGUGAGUAAUGUCUGGGAAACUGCCCGAUGGAGGGGGAUAACUACUGGAAACGGUAGCUAAUACCGCAUACCAUCGGAUGUGCCCAGAUGGGAUUAGCUAGUAGGUGGGGUAACGGCUGACCUAGGCGACGAUCCCUAGUUGGUCUGAGAGGAUCACCGGCCACACGGGAACUGAGAAACGGUCCAGAUUCCUACGGGAGGCAGCAGUGGGGAAGAUUGCACAAUGGGCGCAAGCCUGAUGCAGCCAUGCGGCGUGUUUGAAGAAGGCCUUCGGGUUGUAAAGUACUUUCAGCGAGGAGGCGUUACUCACAGAAGAAGCACCGGCUAACUCCGUGCCAGCAGCCGCGGUAAUUC
rnacentral:rRNA from 1 species